GACGGAUCGCCGCGCUUCGGCGCGGAGGAAAGUCCGGACUCCACAGGGCGAGGCGCCCCGCCGCAGUGGCGGGGAGGGCGCGGGCAAACCGCGCCGAUGGAAAGUGCCACAGAAAGCAAACCGCCGCGGGCGAGUCCCGCGGCAAGGGUGAAACGGCGGUGCAAGAGACCACCGUGCGCCGCGGAAACGGGGCGCGCAAGGCAAACCCCGCCUGGAGCAAGACCGAACAGGAGCGCAUCGUGCUGCCCGCACGGGUUUCCCCGCAAGGGGCGGCGUUCCGGGUUGGUCGCGAAGAUGAAUGAUCCGAUCCGCCUUCGGGCGGGAACAGAAUCCGGCUUAUGAAGC
rnacentral:RNase_P_RNA from 1 species